rnacentral:tRNA from 2 species
GGAAGUGUGGCCGAGUGGUUGAAGGCACUAGUCUUGAAAACUAGCGAGGAUGAGAGUCCUUCGUGAGUUCGAAUCUCACCGCUUCCGCCA